GUUGUGCUAGAUCACAGAAGAUCCUCAGUCAUAGUUAACAAAAUGGUAAAAUUAGCUGUGUUUUUAAGAUUCCAGUCGUGGCCAUCAACUGCUCAGGAAAGCAGCCCAGAAUCACUUCACUACAGGUUUUCAAAGGAUCAUCAUUCAUCAGUACAGAAGGGUGGGGAAGAGAAGGCUGUUCAAAUUCUGAAAAGCCAGAGCUGCAAAGGAGGUCAAAGAUGCAGUGCAGUUGGCCCACUCAGUAGAGUUUCACUAGUGGUUCUGAUGUGGACUGGGGAUUACACGCUGGAUUGAAGUGGCGGUCUAAAGCAGCUAUAAUUCAUCAUUCGUGCUGAUCGUGGACGAGUAAGAGCCCACGUUGGCCCCGAUCGGCGAUCGCUGGCCAAAGCCCACCACCAGGUUGGUGAUAGGCGUUGGCUGUGAUAUCUAGGUGUCGCCUAUGUGUGAAAAGGACAAGUUGAUAACAAAACCUGUUGCGCCAUGUUAUUAACCCGCGCCCGGGUGGCCCUCAGCCAACUUGGUGGGGGGGGGGAGGGGAGGCGUAUUCGGCCACACCAGGUUAUCUUGGAAUGUAACAAAGCUGGAAAGACGCAGUAAAAUCAAUAUAUAGCUCGCUAUUUUCCUUCAGAAUCAUACAGGUCAUUUUCGAUCAGGUCAUUGCUGAGGUCACUGGAGGUCACCAAAAGUAAAAUGAUGACGAAUUUUGGCUAUAGAUUUUGACAACUUCACAAAUUGGUUCAUAACUCGGGAACCAAAGAAGCUACAGCGCCGCGGAAAAGCGAAUUCGAUAGCUCUUUCGAAAAUCUUGCAGGUUCUCACAUUUGAGCUAAGGUCAACUAGGGUUAAGCCUCCAAAUGGCAAAAACUGAACAAUCGGCGUGCUUCGGAAAUCGUCUUAUCUUUUAAAACUUUUGAUACCAACAUUUUAUUACGUUGAUUUCACCGGCACUGCGUUUCUCUCGUCUUGUUGACCUAACAAGGUCAACUUAAUAAAUUUGACCUCAGGUCAAAGUCGCAGAAAAUGCCAUAUUGCAUGUCAGUCGAUUCGUUACAUUGAGAUUGUGAUUAACAUCAGUAGCGGCGGAACACCUUCA
rnacentral:lncRNA from 1 species